rnacentral:rRNA from 1 species
CCUACGGGAGUCAGCAGUGAGGAAUAUUGGUCAAUGGGCGCGAGCCUGAACCAGCCAAGUAGCGUGAAGGAUGACUGCCCUACGGGUUGUAAACUUCUUUUAUAAAGGAAUAAAGUGAGGCACGUGUGCCUUUUUGUAUGUACUUUAUGAAUAAGGAUCGGCUAACUCCGUGCCAGCAGCCGCGGUAAUACGGAGGAUUCGAGCGUUAUCCGUAUUUAUUGGGUUUCAAGGGAGCGUAGAUGGGUUGUUAAGUCAGUGGUGAAAGUUUGCGGCUCAACCGUAAAAUUGCAAUUGAUACUGGCAGUCUUGAGUACACUUGAGGUAGGCGGAUUUCGUGGUGUAGCUGU